rnacentral:rRNA from 1 species
UCGAACGCGAAAGGGGGUUUCGGCCCCCGAGUAGAGUGGCGGACGGGUGAGUAACACGUGGGUAAUCUGCCUUUGGGUGGGGAAUAACGUUCCGAAAGGGACGCUAAUACCGCAUAAAGCAGCGGCACCGCAUGGUGACUAGUUGUUAAAGUGGGGGAUCUUCGGACCUCACGCCUAAAGAGGAGCCCGCGCCCGAUUAGCUAGUUGGUGGGGUAAUGGCUCACCAAGGCGACGAUCGGUAGCCGGCCUGAGAGGGCGGUCGGCCACACUGGCACUGAGAUACGGGCCAGACUCCUACGGGAGGCAGCAGUGGGGAAUUUUGGGCAAUGGGCGAAAGCCUGACCCAGCAACGCCGCGUGAAGGACGAAAUCCCUUCGGGAUGUAAACUUCAAAAGUUGGGGAAGAAAUGCCUGAGGCGAAUACCCUUGGGAGAUGACGGUACCCAACGUAAGCCCCGGCUAACUACGUGCCAGCAGCCGCGGUAAUACGUAGGGGGCAAGCGUUGUUCGGAAUUACUGGGCGUAAAGGGCGCGUAGGCGGCACGGCAAGUCAGGAGUGAAAGCCCUGGGCUCAACCCGGGAACUGCUUUUGAAACUGCCGAGCUAGAGUGCGGAAGGGGCAACUGGAAUUCCCAGUGUAGCGGUGAAAUGCGUAGAUAUUGGGAAGAACACCUGAGGCGAAGGCGGGUUGCUGGGCCGACACUGACGCUGAUGCGCGAAAGCCAGGGGAGCGAACGGGAUUAGAUACCCCGGUAGUCCUGGCCCUAACGAUGGAUACUUGG